UGGCUCAGUGGAAGAGCGCUUGCCUUGCAUGCCUGAGGCCCUGGGUUCGAUUCCCAG
rnacentral:tRNA from 1 species